rnacentral:rRNA from 1 species
AUUGAACGCUGGCGGCAGGCCUAACACAUGCAAGUCGAGCGGAUGAAGGGAGCUUGCUCCUGGAUUCAGCGGCGGACGGGUGAGUAAUGCCUAGGAAUCUGCCUGGUAGUGGGGGAUAACGUCCGGAAACGGGCGCUAAUCCCGCAUACGUCCUGGGGGGGAAAGGGGGGGAUCUUCGGCCCUCACGCUAUCAGAUGAGCCUAGGUCGGAUUAGCUAGUUGGUGGGGUAAAGGCCUACCAAGGCGACGAUCCGUAACUGGUCUGAGAGGAUGAUCAGUCACACUGGAACUGAGACACGGUCCAGACUCCUACGGGAGGCAGCAGUGGGGAAUAUUGGACAAUGGGCGAAAGCCUGAUCCAGCCAUGCCGCGUGUGUGAAGAAGGUCUUCGGAUUGUAAAGCACUUUAAGUUGGGAGGAAGGGCAGUAAGUUAAUACCUUGCUGUUUUGACGUUACCAACAGAAUAAGCACCGGCUAACUUCGUG